CCAGGAAAUGUCUCUGACAGCGCCUCAUCUC
rnacentral:piRNA from 1 species